rnacentral:misc_RNA from 1 species
GGACGAGUUUUUCCAGUAGCUAUGACCACUUUUACACCCCUAGAAGUGGCCUCUCUAAGAGCUUCAGCAGUUGCUGAACUAAUCUGACUUUUGCUGUUCAGGAGGGUACCAUCCAUAUCACAGAAGAUGUAGCUAAACUUUGGUCUGUAAAAUCGUAGACUCCCUUCUUUCUUCCUGUCAAUGUUCUCCAAAAGAGAACUUCCAGCAGCCUCAGCAUCAUAUGCGCUCUGAAUUAAUCCUUUUCCCUUCCACCCAAGACAUUUUAGAAGGAGCUCCUCUUCUUUCUCCAUUUCAGCUUCAGCUUCAUCACUAAUCUCAUGAUCGAACCCCAAAAGAUGUAGCAAGCCAUGAACCAGUAAGAUGCGUAUCUCGUCCAGUAAACUAUGUCCCCUUUCCUCUGCUUGCCUUGCUGCUGUCUCCACCGAAAUCACAAUGUCUCCCAGCAUUAAAAUUGGCAGCUCAAGUUCAGGUAUGUGUUGUGACAUUGAAAGGACAUCAGUAGGGCUAUCCACAUCUCUCCAGUCCUUAUUAAGUUCGCGGAUGAACUCAUCGUUGCAAAGCAAUACUGACAAUUCAACACUUUCAAAG